UACGUAGGGGGCAAGCGUUAUCCGGAUUUACUGGGUGUAAAGGGAGCGUAGACGGCAGGGCAAGCCUGGAGUGAAAGGCAGGGGCCCAACCCCUGGACUGCUCUGGAAACUGUCCGGCUGGAGUGCAGGAGAGGUAAGUGGAAUUCCUAGUGUAGCGGUGAAAUGCGUAGAUAUUAGGAGGAACACCAGUGGCGAAGGCGGCUUACUGGACUGUAACUGACGUUGAGGCUCGAAAGCGUGGGGAGCAAACAGG
rnacentral:rRNA from 1 species